UUGAAUAUACAUUACUGCUGAGUUGCUGACAAGAAUAACCCAACAGUUUUCUGCCAACAGAAAAUUUUAAAGUAAAUAAAAAGAUAAGAAAAGAGGGUUGAAAAGGCUUGACUUCUCAGGGGCGGGUGCAGCUUUUUGAGAAGGGGUUGGGGGUGGGUGUGCACACUUUUGAGAAAAGGGGGUGUGCAGACUUCAUUUUCGCCCGAGUUUCAAUGGUCAUUGAAAGAACUUUCAGGACAAAAGGAGGGGUGCGCACCCCUGCACACCUAUGGAUCCGCCUAUGCUUGGAUGAAUUCAGAUGAUGUGCUCCAUACACACCAUGAUCUGAAGACGUGCAAACAGACCUGUCACAAUGUCGAACUCAGAUGCCUUAUAAACUGAUGGUACCUCCAUCAGGUUCAGCUUGCUAAAGGGAGAUAACUCUAAAAUCACAAUUGAACAAGGGGAUGGUAAGGAGUGCCUGAAAAACAUCCUGCUUGUUCUGAAUGGUUUGACAAGGCACUGAUGACUAGAAGAAGAAAUUAUGAUAAAUUUAUUGCUUCUGAAAGAAAAAUGCCUUU